rnacentral:rRNA from 2 species
UCUGGUGGUGAUGGCACAGAGGUAACACUCCUUCCCAUUUCGAACAGGAAAGUUAAGGUCUGUAGCGCUGAUGGUACUGCAUGGGAGACUAUGUGGAAGAGUAAGACAUCGCCAGGU